rnacentral:rRNA from 1 species
AUUGAACGCUGGCGGCAGGCCUAACACAUGCAAGUCGAGCGAGCGGCGGAGGGGUGAGUAAUGUAUGGGGAUCUGCGCGAUAGAGGGGGAUAAAUACGGGAAACGGUGGCUAAUACCGCAUACUAUCAUAUGAACCCAUAUGGUAUUAGCUUGGAGGAGGGGUAAAGGCUCACCUAGGCGACGACCUCUCGCUGGUCUGAGAGGAUGAUCAGCCACACUGGGACUGAGACAGGGCCCAGACUCCUACGGGAGGCAGCAGUGGGGAAUAUUGCACAAUGGGCGCAAGCCUGAUGCAGCCAUGCCGCGUGUAUGAAGAAGGCCUUAGGGUUGUAAAGUACUUUCAGCGGGGAGGCGUUACCCGCAGAAGAAGCACCGGCUAACUCCGUGCCAGCAGCCGCGGUAAUAC